rnacentral:rRNA from 1 species
GACAGAGGUCCCAAGCGUUAGGCGGAAUCACUGGGCUUAAAGCGUGUGUAGGCGGAUGUCUAAGUACCUUGUGAAAUCCCCACGGCUCAACCGUGGAACUGCUUGGUAUACUGGAUGUCUUGAGCCAUCUAGGGGCUACUGGAACAAAUGGUGGAGCGGUGAAAUGCGUAGAUAUCAUUUGGAACGCCAAUGGUGAAAACAAGUAGCUGGGGAUGUGCUGACGCUGAGACACGAAAGCCAGGGGAGCAAACGGG